UUCAGUCAAACGUGAAAAGGUCAUUAGAAAACGUACCGAUGACAGCAUAAAUGUGGUCAGUCGGCCAUAUUUCUCCACCGCUUCUGCGACGAAUCCUCGAGCGCAGCGGGGUUGGAACCUACGCUUCUGCGUAGAAAAAGUAGGCAUCGAACACAACGAUUGUCCACGAAACGCUUGAUUUAGCAAUGGUCUGUGUUGAUGCUAUUUUCUCUAAAAGCAAACUGUCAGUAAUCUGCAGCCAUUCAGCUACUGUAGCGUACCAGAAAUUUGAAGAAAGGAGUAAAGAGUGAGCUGCCAUUACCAAAGUACCUCAAAUAUGUAGGAACCAUGACAUUCAGGCAGUUCUGUUCUGUUGAAAUAAUACUUGAGCUGGAACCAUGGCAUGAAAGAAAUCCUUGGGAAAUAUAUAUAAGUGGAGAGUGAGACAUCAAGUUUGUAAAAUGAAAAGACAUAUGAAGCAAAUAGCAAGUUCUGAAUGCUGCAAACCGGUCACACAUCCAGUUGGCUUACGGAAGGUCGGUGGUUCUACCAGG